AGGCGCGUAGCUCAGGGGGAGAGCGCUACCUUGACGCGGUAGAAGUCGGCGGUUCGAUCCCGCCCGCGCCUACCA
rnacentral:tRNA from 6 species